UAUAUAUAUAUAUAUAUAAAAUGGGAGACAGGGCGCACACCGAAGAGAGAUCGCGUAUUGGAAAAGCGCGUGCGAAAUCCUAGCGAGACAGCAAGACAGUUCCCCCCUCACGCGAAAAACCCCUUCUGUAUAAAGAUUUCCUGCCCUCGGAUUGCCGAUCGUCCCGCGGACCCAUUUUCGGACCCACCGAACUCGUCGAUGGGCCCACCAGCCCGGCCGCCGCCACCGUCGCCGCCGCCGUCGCUCUACCGGACUCAGUCGGGGCCCCCGAAGAUGCAUACAAUCACAGAUCGGUCAUCAGGACUUUCGGGACGUCCGGGACGUCCGGGACUAGUCGUCCGUCGAUCGCACGCAGUCAGGACACACUCGGGCAGGCUCAAAUAUCAUCGCAUUUGAGCUUACAGAGUUGUCUCGCAUCGUCCUCCUGCAAGCAAUCGUUCCAGAAUCCAGUCGCAGCCAGGCAUCGUGUCAGUGUGUGGAAAUACAUAAUUACAUAGAAUUACGGUAUAAGUUGUGUUAAAUCAAUGUUAAUCGCUGUAGCGAAGUGGGGUAUUAUAAUAAAUACAUUAUUUUAUGUAUA